rnacentral:rRNA from 1 species
UACGAAGGGGGCUAGCGUUGUUCGGAAUUACUGGGCGUAAAGCGCGCGCAGGCGGUUCUCCAAGUCAGUGGUGAAAGCCCCGGAGCUCAACUCCGGAACUGCCAUUGAAACUGUUGAACUUGAGGACGAGAGAGGUGAGUGGAAUUCCCAGUGUAGAGGUGAAAAUUCGUAGAUAUUGGGAAGAACACCAGUGGCGAAGGCGGCUCACUGGCUCGUAUCUGACGCUCAGGCGCGAUAGCGUGGGGAUCAAACAGG